AACGNCUGGCGGCAUGCUUUACACAUGCAAGUCGAACGGCAGCGGGGGCUUCGGCCUGCCGGCGAGUGGCGAACGGGUGAGUAAUGCAUCGGAACGUGCCCAUGUCGUGGGGGAUAACGUAUCGAAAGGUACGCUAAUACCGCAUACGUCCUGAGGGAGAAAGCGGGGGAUCUUCGGACCUCGCGCGAUUGGAGCGGCCGAUGUCGGAUUAGCUAGUAGGUGAGGUAAAGGCUCACCUAGGCGACGAUCCGUAGCGGGUCUGAGAGGAUGAUCCGCCACACUGGGACUGAGACACGGCCCAGACUCCUACGGGAGGCAGCAGUGGGGAAUUUUGGACAAUGGGGGCAACCCUGAUCCAGCCAUGCCGCGUGAGUGAAGAAGGCCUUCGGGUUGUAAAGCUCUUUCGGCCGGGAAGAAAUCGUGGUCUCUAACAUAGGCCAUGGAUGACGGUACCGGACUAAGAAGCACCGGCUAACUACGUGCCAGCAGCCGCGGUAAUACGUAGGGUGCGAGCGUUAAUCGGAAUUACUGGGCGUAAAGCGUGCGCAGGCGGUUUUGUAAGACAGAUGUGAAAUCCCCGGGCUCAACCUGGGAACUGCGUUUGUGACUGCAAGGCUAGAAGUACGG
rnacentral:rRNA from 1 species